AGCUCAUCCAGAGGGGCAGAGGGAAACGGCCCGAUGAAGCCCCGGCAACCCUCCAGUCGGUUCUCGUAGACACCGUCGGUCAGCACUGAUCGUCUCCGCGAGGCUCCCGGCUAGGGAAGGUGCCAAUUCCGUCUCGCGGCGAAAUGCGUCGUGAGGAAGAUGAGGA
rnacentral:ncRNA from 2 species